UUCAAAGAGUGCGUAAUAGCUCACUGGUCGAGCGUCUUUGCGCGGAGAAUUUAACGGGGCUAAACCUGACACCGAAGCUUAGGCAAUACAGCAAUGUAUUGGGUAGGGAGCGUUGUAUACGCGGUGAAACAGUAGCGCAAGCGGCUGUGGAGUGUAUAGAAGUGAGAAUGCCGGAAUGAGUAGCGCGAAUGCAGUGAGAAUCUGCAUGGCCGAAAGCCUCAGGUUUCUGGAGGAAGGUUCGUCCGCUCCAGGUCAGUCGGGAGCUAAGGUGAGGCCUAACGGCGUAGCCGAUGCACAGACGGUAGAGAUUCCGUCACCACCAAAAGAGUUAAACACAGGGACACAUAUGAAGUCUCGGAGCCGGGUGUUGGUUCCGGUAGUGAUCGAGGGAAAUUAGUACCGAAGUCCGGGAUGGAAGAUGGCGAGAAAAGCUGUGUGUAUUUCUGCGGUGCCCGUACCGCAAACCGACACAGGUAGGUAGGAAGAAGAUUCUAAGGCCAACGGGAGAAGGGUUGUUAAGGAACUCGGCAAAUUGACCCCGUAACUUCGGGAGAAGGGGUGCUGCAGCAAUGCAGCCGCAGAGAAUCGGCCCAAGCAACUGUUUACCAAAAACACAGGUUUGUGCUAAAUCGAAAGAUGACGUAUACGAGCUGACGCCUGCCCGGUGCUGGAAGGUUAAGAGGAGAUGUGCAAGCAUUGAAUCGAAGCCCCAGUGAACGGCGGCCGUAACUAUAACGGUCCUAAGGUAGCGAAAUUCCUUGUCAGGUAAGUUCUGACCCGCAUGAAAGGCGUAAUGAUUUGGGCACUGUCUCAACAGCCCGCCCGGCGAAAUUGUAGUACCGGUGAAGAUGCCGGUUACCCGCGACAAGACGGAAAGACCCCAUGGAGCUUUACUGUAGCCUAAUAUUGGGUUUCGAUGUUGCAUGCACAGGAUAGAUGGGACACUGGGAAGCAGGUGCUUUGGCGCUUGUGGAGUGGCCGUUGGGAUACCAUCCUUGCGAUAUUGGAAUUCUAACCUGCGCCUUUGAAUCAAGGCGGGGGACAUUGUUAGGUGGGCAGUUUGACUGGGGCGGUCGCCUCCUAAAGAGUAACGGAGGCGUUCAAAGGUUCGCUCAGCUUGAACGGAAAUCAAGCAAAAGAGUGCAAACGCAGAAGCGAGCCUAACUGCGAGACUGACGGGUCGAGCAGUAACGAAAGUUGGAGUUAGUGAUCCGGUGGUAUGUGAGUGGAAAUGCCAUCGCUCAACGGAUAAAAGUUACCCUGGGGAUAACAGGCUGGUCUCCCCCAAGAGUCCACAUCGACGGGGAGGUUUGGCACCUCGAUGUCGGCUCAUCGCAUCCUGGGGCUGUAUUCGGUCCCAAGGGUUUGGCUGUUCGCCAAUUAAAGCGGUACGCGAGCUGGGUUCAGAACGUCGUGAGACAGUUCGGUCCCUAUCUGUCGUGGGCGCAGGAUAUUUGAUGGGAGCUGUUCCUAGUACGAGAGGACCGGAGCGGACGUACCUCUGGCGCACCAGUUGUUCUGCCAAGAGCAUAGCUGGGCAACUAUGUACGGAUCGGAUAAACGCUGAAAGCAUCUAAGCGUGAAGCCGACCCAAAGAUAAGAUAUCCCAUUGUUUCAAACAAGUAAGACCCCUUGAAGACUACAAGGUUGAUAGGCACGAUGUGUAAGUUGAGCGAUCCAUUCAGCAAGCGUGUACUAAUAGGUCGAGGGCUUGACC
rnacentral:rRNA from 1 species